CCUACGGGGGGCAGCAGUGGGGAAUAUUGCACAAUGGGGGAAACCCUGAUGCAGCAACGCCGCGUGAGUGAAGAAGUAUUUCGGUAUGUAAAGCUCUAUCAGCAGGAAAGAAAAUGACGGUACCUGACUAAGAAGCCCCGGCUAACUACGUGCCAGCAGCCGCGGUAAUACGUAGGGGGCAAGCGUUAUCCGGAUUUACUGGGUGUAAAGGGAGCGUAGACGGUUUUGCAAGUCUGAAGUGAAAGCCCGGGGCUUAACCCCGGGACUGCUUUGGAAACUGUAGGACUAGAGUGCAGGAGAGGUAAGUGGAAUUCCUAGUGUAGCGGUGAAAUGCGUAGAUAUUAGGAGGAACACCAGUGGCGAAGGCGGCUUACUGGACUGUAACUGACGUUGAGGCUCGAAAGCGUGGGGAGCAAACAGGAUUAGAUACCCGUGUAGUC
rnacentral:rRNA from 1 species